rfam:Planctomycetes bacterium RBG_16_64_10 RBG_16_scaffold_98854, whole genome shotgun sequence.
GGGGGCGUAGCUCAGCUGGGAGAGCGUGGCGUUCGCAAUGCCAAGGUCGAGGGUUCGAAUCCCUUCGCCUCCA